GAUAUCUACCUCUUGGUGGGGGAUAACCUGGGGAAACCUGGGCUAAUACCGCAUAAGUUCGUGAGAAGAAAGGCGCAAGUCGCCGAGAGAGGAGUCCGCGGUCGAUUAGGUAGUUGGCGGGGUAAGAGCCCACCAAGCCAAAGAUCGAUAGCCGGCCUGAGAGGGCACACGGCCACACUGGCACUGAAACACGGGCCAGACUCCUACGGGAGGCAGCAGUGGGGAAUCUUGCACAAUGGGGGAAACCCUGAUGCAGCGACGCCGCGUGAGCGAUGAAGCCCUUCGGGGUGUAAAGCUCUUUCGGCAGGAACGAUAAUGACGGUACCUGCAGAAGAAGCUGCGGCUAACUACGUGCCAGCAGCCGCGGUAAUACGUAGGCAGCAAGCGUUGUUCGGAAUUACUGGGCGUAAAGAGUGUGUAGGUGGUGUCGUAAGUUUGGUGUGAAAUCUCCCGGCUUAACUGGGAGGGUGCGCCGAAGACUGCGAUGCUGGAGUAUGGGAGAGGAAAGCGGAAUUCCUGGUGUAGCGGUGAAAUGCGUAGAUAUCAGGAGGAACACCUGCGGUGUAGACGGCUUUCUGGACCAUUACUGACACUGAGACACGAAAGCGUGGGUAGCAAACAGGAUUAGAUACCCUGGUAGUCC
rnacentral:rRNA from 1 species